rnacentral:rRNA from 1 species
AGUGAACGCUGGCGGUAGGCCUAACACAUGCAAGUCGAACGGCAGCACCGUAAGAGCUUGCUCUUACGGGUGGCGAGUGGCGGACGGGUGAGGAAUACAUCGGAAUCUACUUUUUCGUGGGGGAUAACGUAGGGAAACUUACGCUAAUACCGCAUACGACCUACGGGUGAAAGCAGGGGAUCUUUGGACCUUGCGCGAUUGAAUGAGCCGAUGUCGGAUUAGCUAGUUGGCGGGGUAAAGGCCCAGCAAGGCGACGAUCCGUAGCUGGUCUGAGAGGAUGAUCAGCCACACUGGAACUGAGACACGGUCCAGACUCCUACGGGAGGCAGCAGUGGGGAAUAUUGGACAAUGGGCGCAAGCCUGAUCCAGCCAUACCGCGUGAGUGAAGAAGGCCUUCGGGUUGUAAAGCCCUUUUGUUGGGAAAGAAAAGCAGCAGGUUAAUACCCCGCUGUUCUGACGGUACCCAAAGAAUAAGCACCGGCUAACUACGUG